UGAUGACAUACAUACAUUAAUAUAGCAUUUGGUAAAUAUACUUAAAUGUUGGGUUCAAAGAGUUCCCUCACUUGUAUAAACACAUCAACAGCCAACAUGUUCACUAUUUACAGAAAUCAUACACGGGGCAAGGGGGCAUAGUUUCUCCAUCUAAACACUAGGUUAAUAAAACAUCUCAUUUAACUGUCUAUUCACAACAGCCAAUUGUUA
rnacentral:misc_RNA from 1 species